rnacentral:rRNA from 1 species
AUUGAACGCUGGCGGCAGGCCUAACACAUGCAAGUCGAGCGGAGGGGCAGACGGGGGAGUAAUGGCUAGGAAUCGGCAUGGUAGUGGGGGAUAAGGUCCGGAAACGGGCGCUAAUACCGCAUACUAUCAGAUGAGGCUAGGUCGGAUUAGCUAGUGGGUGGGGUAAAGGCGUACGAAGGCGACGAUCCGUAACUGGUCUGAGAGGAUGAGCAGUCACACUGGAACUGAGACACGGUCCAGACUCCUACGGGAGGCAGCAGUGGGGAAUAUUGUACAAUGGGCGCAAGCCUGAUCCAGCCAUGCCGCGUGUAUGAAGAAGGUCUUCGGAUUGUAAAGCACUUUAAGUUGGGAGGCGUUACCCGCAGAAUAAGCACCGGCUAACUCCGUGCCAGCAGCCGCGGUAAUAC